rnacentral:rRNA from 1 species
AUUUUGGACAAUGGGCGCAAGCCUGAUCCAGCCAUGCCGCGUGAGUGAAGAAGGCCUUCGGGUUGGAAAGCUCUUUCGGACGGAAAGAAAUCGCGCAGGCUAAUACCCUGCGCGGAUGACGGUACUGAUAUAAGAAGCACCGGCUACCUACGCUCCAGCAUCCGCGGUAAUACGUAGUGGGCCAGCGUUAAUCGGACUUACUGGGCGUCAAGCGUGCGCAGGCGGGUGAUUAAGACAGGCGUGAAAUCCCCGGGCUUAACCUGGGAACUGCGCUUGUGACUGGUCAGCUAGAGUACGGCAGAGGGGGGUGGAAUUCCACGUGUAGCAGUGAAAUGCGUAGAGAUGUGGAGGAACACCGAUGGCGAAGGCAGCCCCCUGGGCCGAUACUGACGCUCAUGCACGAAAGCGUGGGUAGCAAACAGG